GAUGAAGAACGUAGCGAAAUGCGAUACUUGGUGUGAAUUGCAGAAUCCGUGAACCAUCGAGUCUUUGAACGCAAGUUGCGCCCGAAGCCAUUAGGCCGAGGGCACGCCUGCCUGGGCGUCACACGUCGUUGCCCCCCCAUCUACUCCUUCGGGAUUGCGGGGGGCGGAUGAUGGCCUCCCGUGCGCCUCGUCGCGCGGUUGGCAUAAAUGCCAAGUCCUCGGCGACGCACGCCACGACAAUCGGUGGUUGCGAAACCUCGGUUGCCCGUCGUGUGCGGUCGUCGCGCAUCGAGGGCUCGAAAAAAUUGUCGGGCUCCGGCUCGGCUUUCAACGCGACCCCAGGUCAGGCGGGGUUACCCGCUGAAUUUAAGCAUAUCAAUAAGCGGAGGA
rnacentral:misc_RNA from 1 species